ensembl:lncRNA
CUGUCCGCUGCCUUAGAUAUUAUAAGAAAUAUUUUCGGCAGUGUAUGUACUUUUUUUUGGACCAAAGAGCACCCAACAGCUCAGCUGUCUCCGGAAGUGUCCGGCAGCGCCUCCGGUGGCUGAAGUGUGUCAUCGCGCAGACCGAGCAGCUGCAGCAUGCAGGACUCCAAUAAACCUGGAGCCCACCUGACAGUGAAAAAGAUCUUUGUCAGUGGAAUCAAGGAGGACACAGAGGAGUAUCAUAUCAGACAGCACUUUGAGCGCUGUGGGAAGAUUCAGAUUACUGACAACUGGGAGCAAGAGAGGAUUCUGCUCCGUCACCUUUGAUGAUCACGAUACUGUGGAAAAAAUUUGUUGGUGCACAAAAAUAUCACACAAUCAACCCGCAUAACUGUGAAGUAAGAAAAGCACUUCCAAAGCAGGAGAUGCGAGCUGUUUCUAAUCAGAGAUAUCGAGGUGGAGGUAAUUUCAUGAGCAGAGGAGGAAGCUUUGGCCGAGGUAAGAUGAUAUGUGAUCCUGUACAUCUGAUCCUGUGUGUCGAUUACAUCUGCAGUUUGUACUCAGGUGUGAAUAGUCCUGCGGUAAAAACACAGGGAAUGCCGUAUCUUUCACAGGAGGGUAUGGAGGAGGCUGUGGAGGAGAUGGAGACGACAGAUUUGGGACAGUAUCAUUAUACUAAUAUGAGCAGGGAUCACUAAAUCCACACUCCCUUGUGAAACUAGCUGUUUAAUUUAUGCCAGAUUUGCACCGAUGUUGAACAGAAGGGCUUUGCCAGAACAAUGUAUUUUUGAAACGGCUGCUUUGUUUUUAGUCACUGGUGAAAUAGAGGAUCACUGUAUGGAUAAGCAUAGGAACAUUUCCAAAGCUGAAAAACUAUAUUUUUCAUUAUUCUAACCUAUGUGUUAACCCAUCACAAUCAAUCAAUCACUCAUAUUUCAUGAAGCUCUGACUGAAAUUAUUAGCACUGAAGUGCAUGUUUAUGUUUGUGUCUCUGGUGGUACAGUAGGUGGAAACUAUUGUGGGGUCCCGGUUGUGGAGGGCGGGGAAUAAAACAAGAGGGCUCAGUGAUGUCA